rnacentral:rRNA from 1 species
UACAGAGGUCUCAAGCGUUAAUCGGAAUCACUGGGCUUAAAGGGUGCGUAGGCGGACCGGAACGCGUCCCGUGAAAUCCCCCGGCUCAACCGGGGAACUGCGGGGCGAACGGACGGUCUUGAGGCAUAUAUGGGCGGGCGGAACUGUAGGUGGAGCGGUGAAAUGCGUAGAGAUGUGGAGGAAUACCGAUGGCGAAGGCAGCCCCCUGGGAUAACACUGACGCUCAUGCACGAAAGCGUGGGGGAGCAAACAGG